rnacentral:rRNA from 1 species
CCUACGGGGUGCUGCAGUGGGGAAUAUUGGGCAAUGGGCGAAAGCCUGAUCCAGCCAUGCCGCGUGUGUGAAGAAGGCCUUCGGGUUGUAAAGCACUUUCAGUGGGGAAGAAAGCCUUGGGGCUAAUACCCUCGAGGAAGGACAUCACCCACAGAAGAAGCACCGGCUAACUCCGUGCCAGCAGCCGCGGUAAUACGGAGGGUGCGAGCGUUAAUCGGAAUUACUGGGCGUAAAGCGCGCGUAGGCGGUCUGAUAAGCCGGUUGUGAAAGCCCCGGGCUCAACCUGGGAACGGCAUCCGGAACUGUCAGGCUAGAGUGCAGGAGAGGAAGGUAGAAUUCCCGGUGUAGCGGUGAAAUGCGUAGAGAUCGGGAGGAAUACCAGUGGCGAAGGCGGCCUUCUGGACUGACACUGACGCUGAGGUGCGAAAGCGUGGGUAGCAAACAGGAUUAGAUACCCGUGUAGUC